rnacentral:rRNA from 1 species
CCUACGGGUGGCAGCAGUGGGGAAUAUUGGGCAAUGGACGCAACCCUGACCCAGCAACGCCGCGUGAAUGAUGAAGGCCUUCGGAUUGUAAAGUUCUGUUAUGGGGGAUGAACACAAUGACGGUACUUCAUUAGCAAGCCACGGCUAACUACGUGCCAGCAGCCGCGGUAAUACGUAGGUGGCAAGCGUUAUCCGGAUUGACUGGGGGUAAAGGGUGCGUAGGUGGUUAAGUAAGUUAGAGGUGAAAUUCCGGGGCUCAACCACGGUACUGCCGUCGAAACUGUUAGACUGGAGUGUAGGAGAGGUAGGUGGAAUUCCUGGUGUAGCGGUGAAAUGCGUAGAUAUAAGGAGGAACAUCAGGGGCGAAGGCGACUUACUGGACUAUAACUGACGCUGAGGCACGAAAGCGUGGGGAGCAAACAGGAUUAGAUACCCCAGUAGUC